rnacentral:rRNA from 1 species
GUGCCAGCCGCCGCGGUAAUACGUAGGUGACCAGCGUUGUCCGGAUUUACUGGGCGUAAAGAGCGCGCAGGCGGUCCAAUAAGUCGAGUGUGAAAGCCCCCGGCUCAACUGGGGAGGGUCAUUCGAUACUGAUGGACUUGAAGGCAGGAGAGGGAAGCGGAAUUCCCGGUGUAGUGGUGAAAUGCGUAGAUAUCGGGAGGAACACCAGUGGCGAAGGCGGCUUCCUGGCCUGUUCUUGACGCUGAGGCGCGAAAGCUAGGGGAGCAAACGGGAUUAGAUACCCUGGUAGUCC